UUGCGCAUGUUAUCAGUUGGAGGGGGAUGGAAAUGGGACGUGUUUCUCAUUUUGUGCUCUUUAUGAAACCUUUCAUUUUAAACUCAAGACUCACUUAAAUUGUAGGGCCUUGCCUACAGGUUUUUUUUUUUUUUUUUUACUAUCUUGCUAGCUGUAUUUCAAAAUAAUUGGUUUUCUUUCUAAUGUUAAGUAUCUUAGACAUUUAAAAGCAUCCAGAGAGAGGGUACUUGGAACCCCAACCUAGAUUGUCUCUGUCUCCCAGCUAGGAUUAUUGCGAGGGCAACGCAUCCUCCAGAUGAGGAGGAGGGACAGGAAAAGGGUAAGGUGACUGAGUGGAGGACCCGGAAAAAUGACUGAGGAGGGGGGCGGUGGGAGCAGCUGCCAAGGACUGUCGCGAAAGGGCCGGCCCGCGUCAACCGGUGUGACCGCUUUGCGACAAAUGCCUGAAACCGAUUCGGCCCGUCUUCGUUUUCUCUGGUCCGCCAGCGUCGAGGCCACAUUUUCCUUUUGGGGAGGGAAAAUCUGGAUGCAAGUGGAGGAAGAAGUGGGGUUGGCAAGUUGAAUGGCUUAAUUUAUUUGGUCAUUUAGCAGCAUGCAAACGCAGAAUCCAGGAAUGCCCUAAAAGCUCAACUUAGAAGACAUGCUAUUGCAUAGUAGAACUGCUUAGAUUGGGGCAGAAGAGGUAAAGCAUGAGAUGGAGUCUGCUGGAUUUGCUGAGGCAGCAUUUGGUACAAAAAAGAACAUCUGCUAAAUCUAAUUGAAAAACUAAAGGUGCUGCACAAUUCUUCAACCUAGGAACAUCCAUAAUGGAUCUGUCACCUUAUUACAGUCAUAUGGACUUUGUAAUCAUUUGCUUCUAAAUGUAGCAUUUAAUUGCAAUUGUUAUAAACAUUUCUGAAUGUUCCUGCUACUUAGUAAUGGAGUUAACAAUUUAAUGCAUUAUUAAAUUUAUCCCAAAUAGAAAUUAUACUUUUUAAAGAAACUGCAUAAAAGUUUUUAAAACAUAUACUAUGCGCCACAGAAUAUGUACUUUUUAAAAUUUGGACCUGUUAGGCAACUUUCUAAAAAAACUGAUGUGAUCAGUUAUAUUUAACUAGGUAAACUUAAUAGAACACUAGUCACUAUUUGCCAAACAAGAUGAACAGGCUUUAUGAGACUGGUGAUAGUUAUUAUCUUUGGAUAUAUACUACAUUGCUGUAAUUAAUUUGGCUUUAUAAUAGUGUUCCAAAUAAACCAUUUUAUAAGUAAUUGUCUAAAAACUUUUCUUAAAUUUUAUUAAAGUAUAAAAAUUUCUGAUGUUAUGAUGGAUGAAAUAAGGCUCUAUGGAAGUGAAAUCCGAGUAGAGAAAAUAUUUCAAAUAAAUUAAAUUUUGUAGAGGUUGAAAGCGUCUUUUGCAGCGAAAAGGCAUGUGUGGAAGUCAACCCAAGGUUUUAAAUUUUUUUCUGCAAACUACACCCCCCAAAAAAACUGUAUCCUUUCUCACAGUUAUUUCCUACUACUAAAAAAAUUAAAAGUACACACUUACCUUUUACUUCUGCGUCAAACUUAACUCAUGGACUUAGUGCAGCAUCUCCGAAUCUCCCUUUCUUGCCCACACCAGAAGUUGAAGGGCUGGCCACUCUCUAGUCUGAUUCCACUCUGAUCAGUACAGACACUUUCACUAUCUCCAUUUCUAUCCUGAACUUUUUAGUCCAAGCCUCUUAGAUCCCACAAGUUCACCACUUUAAUGCUGGGAUUAGUGCAGAUACCCAAAUGCCUUAGUCUAAGACAGCUUGUAACUCUCAAACUCAAUAGAUCCAUUUAGCCUCUGCCUGCCUCUCCAGGGACUGAUAUUAUAUGUAUGUGCCAUCACACACAGAAGACAUUUCCUUUCAUGCAGUAACUAGAGUCAGAGAAUUAACAUUUGAUGUCUUUAAUAUCAUCAUAACUAGUUACAAAAGAUCAUAUGAAAUUAUUUAAAAUUGUUUACACUGAAGUUACAUUGCUUAUUUAAAAUACAUUAACAAUGAUCAGUCAGGAGGCAGCAUGGUACAGUGGAAAGAACAGAUUUGGAGUCAUAAGAUGUGGGGUUCAAAUCCCAACUACAUAACCUUGAGCAAGUCAAGUUGCUUGAACUAAAUGGCCUCUAAGGAACUUUCAAGCUCUAAAUCUAUGAUCCUAUGAUUCCAUGUUUUAAGAAAAACAUUACAGAAGUAAUAAUAAAUCUGUUGGCAAAUGGCCUUAGCCUUGUUAACAGCAACAUAGUCUGAUAAUUGUAUCACACAUAAUUUGCUCUAAAGUAGGACCACUGUGAACUUCACCUAAAAAUAGCUAUUUUUGAAAAUAGCAGAAAGAUCUUUGUUUUCACCUAUAAUAGUUUCCAAAAAAAAAAAAAAAAAAAGAAAAAAAAAAAAAAGACCUUGUCUCUAGUGUACAGAGAAUAAGCAUAUAAUCUCAACAGAUCAUUCAAUGGUCUUUAUGUAUCUGUAAUUUAAAAGACAUAAAAUCGUGGUUUUUUUCCUACUUUGUAAUAAUCAAUUGUGUUUUAUGAAUUUAAGUUCUGAAUUUCAGUAAGCACUUGAACAAGAUUCUUGCUUUUUUUUUGCAUGCUUAGUUAAUUCAUAAAAGGUUUUUUUAUCCAAUUGAAUUUUAAAAACAAAAUCAUUAGCUCCAAAAUGCGUGAAAAUUCUCAUAAGUUAUGAAGUAUAUAUAUUUAUAUUUUUAAAAUUAUGGCUUACAGUUGCUUCUUAUUAAGUGAGUCCUUAUGUAUUCUGAGGGGGGAUCCUAGUUCUAAAGAUUUGCUCUACAAAAAGAAUUCUUGACCUUUUGUGUGUCAUGGACCCUCUUCUCAGAUAUUUUAAAUGCAUAAAAUAAAAUACAGAUUUACAAAAGGAAACAAUUAUAUUGAAAAAUAAUAAUCCAUUUUUUCCCAACCUGCUCUAGAAAGGAAUUAGAGAACAUUAUAAUCAAUUUUGUCAGAAACUUCCCUCACAGAUACUUUUUAAAUUUGGGGUAUCUGAUCCUAGAAGUGAAUAAAAUAAUUGGGCUUCCUAAUGCCUGCUAAGCCCUUGAAUCAAAUGAGUGCCCUAUAGCUAUCUGACAAAAAACUAUACCUUGGCAACCCCCAAAGCCUCUUUUCAUAUACAUAAAGAAAAGCAAGGAAGCCACUUAAUAUUUAGUAAAUACAACUCAUUAAUUAAAUAACUACUUAUAAAUUUUAAAAGUCAUUAAAAAAAAAAACAAAUGGCCCUCGCUGUCACUUAUACAGCUCUGCCAACCUAAGUCAAAUACUUUUUUUUUUCAGUUCAAUACCUAAAAGUUUAUUCCAUUUUAUAUAUAUGCUUCAAAAUUUUUUGUAUAGUGAGCUAGAGUAACCACAAGCAGAAUGAACAGAAAUAACACUUGCAGAACACUGUUAACAUGAAACACAACAGUUAAACUCCUACAAAACAUUAAAUACCAAUCAUAACUUGAAUAUAGUGAUCAAAAGCAGACUCAAAGUACCUGGCAUAUAAUAAAUGCUCCCUGACUGACUCAAAGUCCACUUCAGAAACCUUAAGACACAAGAGGUCUGUCUCCCCCCACCCAUCCACCCUCCGCCACCCCCCACAAAACAAAAAUAUACUUCCCACUGCUGUAAAUGGAAUAAAAGCACAAAUUUUAUGUACACAGAUUGAAAAAUCUAUCAUACCUACAACUUUGUUAUCAAAAAAUCGAUCUUCCAGUCAGUCUUCUAUUAAGACUUUUUCAUGUUGUAAAGCAACAAUCCAUACUCCUUAUGGAGCAGAAAUGUGAAACUACAAUACACAGAUUAGAAUCUUACAAAAAUGCAAAUAUUUGACCUUAUCCUGACAAAAAUGGGACUGCCCUCAUUUACAGUCCAUAUGUACACAGCGCAAUCAAAAGAAUUUUUUAAAAAUUAAAAGAUUCCCCUGAAAAUCACGUGUCAAAAUGUUACAAAACUGUUAAGACUAGAUUCAUGACUAAUAGUUUUAUAGAAUCUCAAUAAUGAAAGGCACCUCAGACCAUCUAGUCUAACCAUUAUCUUAAAAGUAUUUUUUAUUAUACCCAAGGACUUGUUGCUCAUUUACCAUUAGGAAGUUUUCCCUAUAUUGGGCCUAAAUCUGGCUCUACUACUUCUACCACUCACUCUCUCAUUUGCCCUUUGGUGUCAAGCAGGUCAAAUCUAAUACCUUCCCUCUAUGUGAUAGUACUCAAAUAUUUCAACUGUUGUAUUUCUCCUAAGUUUUAUCAUCUUUUCUAUUCUUAGCAUCCCCAGGCCCUUCCACUAGUCUUCAUGUGGUAUUUGAUUCAAUUUGAACAGGCUCAGAACUUCUUUCUCAGCAGGUGGAGUGAAGAACCGAU